rnacentral:rRNA from 1 species
ACAUGAAGCUGGAAUCGCUAGUAAUCGCGAAUCAGAAUGUCGCGGUGAAUACGUUCCCGGGUCUUGUACACACCGCCCGUCACACCAUGGGAGUCGGAAAUGCCCGAAGUCAGUGACCCAACCGGUAAGGAGGGAGCUGCCGAAGGUGGAGCCGGUAACUGGGGUGAAGUCGUAACAAGGUAAC